GGUUAGCUAUAAUAUGGAAAGUUUAAAAAGUUAAAAUCCACAAAGCAUAAAGUAUAAAUAUGGAAUCUGGAAGCACUGAAAAAGCAUUGUAUUGAAUCUGGAUACUAUGUAGAGAGAAAAAUAAACACAAGAUACGAUCAUAAUGUUAAUAGACUACUGGUGUUGAUUUUAAGAGAUAUGUUUGGCUAUAAUCAAGAGAAUGCGAGAAAAAACGCAAAAA